rnacentral:rRNA from 1 species
UAGGUAAUGGCUUACCAAGCCGUUGAUCGGUACGGGUUGUGAGAGCAAGAGCCCGGAGAUGGAACCUGAGACAAGGUUCCAGGCCCUACGGGGUGCAGCAGGCGCGAAACCUCCGCAAUGUGAGAAAUCGCGACGGGGGGAUCCCAAGUGCCAUUCUUAACGGAAUGGCUUUUCAUUAGUGUAAAGAGCUUUUGGAAUAAGAGCUGGGCAAGACCGGUGCCAGCCGCCGCGGUAACACCGGCAGCUCUAGUGGUAGCAAUUUUUAUUGGGCCUAAAGCGUCCGUAGCCGGUUUAAUAAGUCUCUGGUGAAAUCCUGCAGCUUAACUGUGGGAAUUGCUGGAGAUACUAUUAGACUUGAGACCGGGAGAGGUUAGAGGUACUCCCAGGGUAGAGGUGAAAUUCUGUAAUCCUGGGAGGACCGCCUGUUGCGAAGGCGUCUAACUGGAACGGUUCUGACGGUGAGGGACGAAAGUUAGGGGCGCGAACCGGAUUAGAUACCCGGGUAGUCCUAACUGUAAACGAUGCGGACUUGGUGUUGGGGUGGCUUUGAGCUGCUUCAGUGCCGAAGGGAAGCUGUUAAGUCCGCCGCCUGGGAAGUACGGUCGCAAGACUGAAACUUAA